rnacentral:sRNA from 1 species
GGCCUAACCCGUUAAGUUCGCUUAACGGUAUGGUCGAAAAUCGAGACAAACAGAAAACCCGUUAUCAGGGCGUUUGUCUCGUUGCACAGGGAAACUUGUGUAGGAGCUUCGGCUCU